rnacentral:rRNA from 1 species
UGGGGAAUAUUGCACAAUGGGCGCAAGCCUGAUGCAGCCAUGCCGCGUGUGUGAAGAAGGCCUUCGGGUUGUAAAGCACUUUCAGCGGGGAGGAAGGCGAUAAGGUUAAUAACCUUGUCGAUUGACGUUACCCGCAGAAGAAGCACCGGCUAACUCCGUGCCAGCAGCCGCGGUAAUACGGAGGGUUCAAGCGUUAAUCGGAAUUACUGGGCGUAAAGCGCACGCAGGCGGUCUGUCAAGUCGGAUGUGAAAUCCCCGGGCUUAACCUGGGAACUGCAUUCGAAACUGGCAGGCUAGAGCCUUGUAGAGGGGGGUAGAAUUCCAGGUGUAGCGGUGUAAUGCGUAGAGAUCUGGAGGAAUACCGGUGGCGAAGGCGGCCCCCUGGACAAAGACUGACGCUCAGGUGCGAAAGCGUGGGGAGCAAACAGG